rnacentral:rRNA from 1 species
CUACAGGGGUUUCUAAUCCUGUUUGCUCCCCACGCUUUCGCGCCUCAGCGUCAGUAAUGAGCCAGUAUGUCGCCUUCGCCACUGGUGUUCUUCCGAAUAUCUACGAAUUUCACCUCUACACUCGGAGUUCCACAUACCUCUCUCACACUCAAGACACCCAGUAUCAAAGGCAGUUCCAGAGUUGAGCUCUGGGAUUUCACCCCUGACUUAAAUGUCCGCCUACGCGCCCUUUACGCCCAGUAAUUCCGAGCAACGCUAGCCCCCUUCGUAUUACCGCGGCUGCUGGCAC